rnacentral:ncRNA from 1 species
UCCGAUGCCCUUUCAGGGUGUAGGAUUAAAAGGGAAUCAGGUGAGAAUCCUGAACAGACCCGCUGCUGUAAGUCCUUUUGGAGCUGUCCAUUCGUUUGCCACUGCGUAAAAAGCGGGAAGGCGGACAGCCAGGGUAAGUCAGAAGACCUGCAAGACGUU